GAUGAAGAACGCAGCGAAAUGCGAUAAGUAAUGUGAAUUGCAGAAUUCAGUGAAUCAUCGAAUCUUUGAACGCACAUUGCGCCCGCUGGUAUUCCGGCGGGCAUGCCUGUUCGAGCGUCAUUUCAACCCUCAAGCUCUCCGGAGUUUGGUGUUGGGGCGCCUGGGGCUUUUCGACCUCAGGGCCCUCAAGUCCAUCGGCGGGACCGCCAGGACACUGAGCGCAGUAGUAUUAUUUCGCUCGGUAGGAUCUUCCACGGCGGGUCGAUCUGGCCGCUAAACCCCCCAAUUCUCACCAAAGGUUGACCUCGGAUCAGGUAGGAAUACCCGCUGAACUUAAGCAUAUCAAUAAGCGGAGG
rnacentral:misc_RNA from 1 species